AUGGAGGCCUUCAGCCCCAUAACAGCGCUCAUGGUGUCCACCAACCCCAUAGAGGUCCUCCAUGGAGUCCUCCAGCCCCAUAGCGGUGCCCGGCUGCGGGCGGCCGAGACGUUGGACGAGUCCGGAGGGGGCCUCGUGAAGCCCGGGGGGUCCCUGACCCUGGUCUGCAAGGCCUCCGGAUACACCUUCGGCGACUACUACAUGGGAUGGAUGCGACAGGCGCCCGGGAAGGCGCUCGAAUACGUCGCAAGUAUUAACAGCGGUGGUAGUAGCACAUACUACGCGUCGGCGGUGAAGGGACGCUUCACCAUCUCCAGGAACAACGGGCAGAGCACGGCCACCCUGCAGAUGAACAGCCUCAAGGCCGAAGACACCGCCACCUACUACUGCGCGAAAGGUGCUGGUGGUUAUGCUGCUCCUGGUGCUGCUGAG